GGAGAUGUACCCAAGUGGCUGAAGGGUCCGCACUCGAAAUGCGGUAGUACGGCAAAACCGUAGCGAGAGUUCAAAUCUCUCCAUCUCCG
rnacentral:tRNA from 2 species